AGCAGCCGCGGUAAUUCCAGCUCCAAUAGCGUAUAUUAAAGUUGUUGCAGUUAAAAAGCUCGUAGUUGAAUUUCGGGAUUUUAUCGUUGGUCAGGCUAUUGUCUGUACUGGCGUAUAGAAUUUCUACCUUCUGGGGAACUAUCAUGUUAUUAAUUUAGCGUGGUAGGAAACCAGGACCUUUACCUUGAAAAAAUUAGAGUGUUCAAAGCAGGCUUAUGUCUGAAUACAUUAGCAUGGAAUAAUAAAAUAGGACGGUGGUCCUGUUUUGUUGGUUUCUGAAUCACCGUAAUGAUUAAUAGGGAUAGUUGGGGGCAUUAGUAUUCAAUUGUCAGAGGUGAAAUUCUUGGAUUUAUUGAAGACUAACUACUGCGAAAGCAUUUGCCAAGGAUGUUUUCAUUAAUCAAGAACGAAAGUUAGGGGAUCGAAGACGAUCAGAUACCGUCGUAGUCUUAACCAUAAACUAUGCCGACUAGGGAUCGGACGAUGUUAACUUUCUUGACUCGUUCGGCGCCUUACGGGA
rnacentral:rRNA from 1 species